UUGGACAUGGGGGGAACCCUGAUCCAGCCAUGCCGCGUGUGUGAAGAAGUGCCUUUUGGUUGUAAAGCACUUUAAGCGAGGAGGAGGAGCUCUUGGUUAAUACCCAAGAUGCUUGGACGUUACUCGCAGAAUAAGCACCGGCUAACUCUGUGCCAGCAGCCGCGGUAAUACAGAGGGUGCAAGCGUUAAUCGGAUUUACUGGGCGUAAAGCGCGCGUAGGUGGCCAAUUAAGUCAAAUGUGAAAUCCCCGAGCUUAACUUGGGAAUUGCAUUCGAUACUGGUUGGCUAGAGUAUGGGAGAGGAUGGUAGAAUUCCAGGUGUAGCGGUGAAAUGCGUAGAGAUCUGGAGGAAUACCGAUGGCGAAGGCAGCCAUCUGGCCUAAUACUGACACUGAGGUGCGAAAGCAUGGGGAGCAAACAGGAUUAGAUACCCUGGUAGUCCAUGCCGUAAACGAUGUCUACUAGCCGUUGGGGCCUUUGAGGCUUUAGUGGCGCAGCUAACGCGAUAAGUAGACCGCCUGGGGAGUACNGUCGCAAGACUAGACUCAAAUGAAUAGACAGGGGCCCGCACAAGCGGUGGAGCAUGUGGUAUAAUACGAUGCAACGCGA
rnacentral:rRNA from 1 species